CCUACGGGAGGCAGCAGUGAGGAAUAUUGGUCAAUGGACGAGAGUCUGAACCAGCCAAGUAGCGUGAAGGAUGACUGCCCUAUGGGUUGUAACCUUCUUUUGUAAAGGAAUAAAACGAGUCACGUGUGCCUUUUUGCAUGUACUUUAUGAAUAAGGAUCGGCUAACUCCGUGCCAGCAGCCGCGGUAAUACGGAGGAUCCGAGCGUUAUCCGGAUUUAUUGGGUUUAACGGGAGCGUAGAUGGGUUGUUAAGUCAGUUGUGAAAGUUUGCGGCUCAACCGUAAAAUUGCAAUUGAUACUGGCAGUCUUGAGUACAGUUGAGGUAGGCGGAAUUCGUGGUGUAGCGGUGAAAUGCUUAGAUAUCACGAAGAACCCCGAUGGCGAAGGCAGCUUACUAAACUGUGACUGACAUUGAUGCUCGAAAGUGUGGGUAUCAAACAGGAUUAGAUACCCGAGUAGUC
rnacentral:rRNA from 1 species